rnacentral:rRNA from 1 species
CGCAGUACGAGUGAAUCAUCGAAUCUUUGAACGCACCUUGCACUUUAAGAGUCAAUCUUAAAGUAUACCUGUUUGAGUAUUAUAACAUUUAUCCAAUUUAUUUUGGGAGUUGAGGGUUUAGUUGUUAAGGCGACUAUCCCUUUAAAUGUAUUAGGGACACUAGGAUAAGCAGUCUUAUAUCUAGAAUGAGGAUAUUACUCUUGUAGUAACAUAAUCAGGAAGAUGUAAAAGGGCUAAUCUGAUCAUGAGUUUCUUGACCGUCUUCGGACAAUUUGUACAAAUGUGAUCUCAAAUCAGGCAAGAUUACCCGCCGAACUUAAGCAUAUCAAUAAGCGGAGG